AUGAUAACUAGGUACUAUAGCAAUGCAAUGAUAUUCGUAACACUGGAGCUCUGUUUUUUCUUUUUUGUAGGAGAGGAAAACACUAAGUCUCUUCUGUACAUGUUCUCAGUCUCUUGCAGGAGUAUAUUGCUUACUCCCGAAUGCAAAGAUCUCUCACAUCUCCCAUGGAUUUCCUUAAGAUCUGCAGGCACUCAGCACUUCAGAUUACCAAGCCCUAAUUAUCUCACAUCCUCUUGCCAAAGCAGAGACAAGGAAAGCAUAGCCACAAGACAUCCCCUGAAUCUGAGACAGCAUCCAGCCACCAUCCACUCUUGUCUCUGGGAGAGCCAAGGAAGGAGAAAGACAGUGGAUGGCCCAUUGGUGGAGAAGAUACUGAGGAAGCACCAACAAGGACUCAUGGGGAAUCCACAGAGAGCCAGGUCUGCCUCUGGGAAUUCAUCUUAUUGCAAGGCAGGGUCAAUGCUGCUCAGACCAGGAGGAGGGCGACAACCAGACGAGGACAUUGAAACGGGACAUUCCAGAGUGAGGUUCAGAAUCCGCAGGGAAGUUGGAGAACUUCUGCUCAUGAAAUAAUGGCAUUCUGGACUUCACCCGAACAGCCCCACGGCCAAGGAUCCUCAGGCUGUAAUUAUAUGGACAUCCGUAUGUAUUACUGCGGAGCAAGCCAGAUGUGGCCAGAGGCAUCCUUUUCAUGUGGGUGUAGGCUAAGAAAUCUACUUCUGUGAGUCCCCCAUGAACCCUGGCCCGUAGAAAUCCUCUCUGCACAGACAAGAAAUUUGCAGCCCAGGACGCCAAACCAUCAGCAGUUGCCACUGUUAUUUGCUAUAAGUUUUUUCCUUGCAUCCCAGGACUUUACUCAUUUGCCCUCUCUUUUUUUUUUCCUGCUUGAAAUUGUAACAGGUCAUCUCAGAUGCAUAUUUACUUCCUUGUCCAUUCUGGACUCAAAUAUAAAAUGGCCCAAACUGUUUUAAGCUUAAAAUUGUGUAAUUAAACCAGUUGGACACACUUGAAGAGCUUUGCAAAGUACAAUGUGCAGCUAAACUGAAUGAUCAUCCUGGAGUUCAAGCACAUGAGUGUAGAGAUCCAGCACAGCCACUCACAAAUUAUGUUUCUUCUCUCCUCCACAUGUUCAGGCUUUAAGUACUCUCAAUGAAUAAGAUUUCUUGUACAAGCUCAGAAGUUUCCUCCUAUGCAAGUAUAACUGGUGUGCACCGAAUUCCAUUGAUAUGGUAGUUAUUGGGACAAACUUCCAGAAGAGAAGUAGGGAGGGGAGGGAGAGGACUGUCCUUCUCCUUAGCAAAGAGUGUUAUUAGAGACAGAGAAAUAAAACAUCCCUAGUGAACA
rnacentral:lncRNA from 1 species